rnacentral:rRNA from 1 species
UACGAAGGGUGCAAACGUUGCUCGGAAUUAUUGGGCGUAAAGCGCACGUAGGCGGCUUUGCAAGUCGGAUGUGAAAUCCCUCGGCUCAACCAAGGAAGUGCAUCCGAAACUGCAGAGCUUGAGUACCAAAGAGGAUCGCGGAAUCCCCGGUGUAGAGGUGAAAUUCGUAGAUAUCGGGAGGAACACCAGUGGCGAAGGCGGCGAUCUGGGUGGAUACUGACGCUGAGGUGCGAAAGCGUGGGGAGCGAACAGG